UGGUGGGUUGCCUUGUCAGGUCGAUUCCGGUAACGAACGAGACCUCAGCCUGCUAAAUAGAUGCGCGCGCCCUCGGGCGCGACCGCAGCUUCUUAGAGGGACUAUUGGCGGUAAGCCAAUGGAAGUGUGAGGCGAUAACA
rnacentral:rRNA from 1 species